rnacentral:tRNA from 1 species
AAGAUUUUAGGUUACAACAAACCAAAGGCCUUCAAAGCCUUUAACAAGCUAACAAAGCUUAAAUCUUG